rnacentral:rRNA from 1 species
CCUACGGGCAGCAGUAGUGAGGAAUAUUGGUCAAUGGACGAGAGUCUGAACCAGCCAAGUAGCGUGAAGGAUGACUGCCCUAUGGGUUGUAAACUUCUUUUAUAUGGGAAUAAAAUGUUCCACGUGUGGGAUUUUGUAUGUACCAUAUGAAUAAGGAUCGGCUAACUCCGUGCCAGCAGCCGCGGUAAUACGGAGGAUCCGAGCGUUAUCCGGAUUUAUUGGGUUUAAAGGGAGCGUAGGUGGAUUGUUAAGUCCGUUGUGAAAGUUUGCGGCUCAACCGUAAAAUUGCAGUUGAAACUGGCAGUCUUGAGUACAGUAGAGGUGGGCGGAAUCCGUGGUGUAGCGGUGAAAUGCUUAGAUAUCACGAAGAACUCCGAUUGCGAAGGCAGUUCACUGGACUGCAACUGACACUGAGGCUCGAAAGUGUGGGUAUCAAACAGGAUUAGAUAUCCUAGUAGUC